CCACGCUAAUGUUUGAUUGUUUGGCUUUUGUUUUUUUCAAAACCUGCGCUGAUGUAGGGAGUCCAUAUCUAUGAACUUGCAAAUUUUUACUAAAGCCCAUGGGGAAGGCCAUCUCUGCUCCCUCCCUCCCUUCCUCCCCUUUUAUACACACACACACACACAUCUACAUUCAUAUUUGACAUGACAAAACUAAAGCUGGGAGAAGUUUGGUGAGUGUCCUUUAGAGCUGGGUGAAACCAUAAAGCAUUUUCCCAUGAUUAUCGAUUCAUUCAGGGGAAACUGAGUUGAUGAUGAUGAGAAAUAUUGUCCUUAAGAACUGCCUUUGGAUAUGUUGUAGAAGAGAGCCUUGCUCUGAAGAUGUCUGGUGAUGAAUAUUCCUUUUUAAAAGUGAGAAGACCUUCAGUGAGACGCAGCUCUCCGGUGGAGGGUGCGCAUUCUGAAUGUGUGAGAUCCUGUGAAGCUCUGUCCGAAGAAAUGGAGGGCAGGAAGCCCAUUCCUGGACCUCCCAUGUCUAAAACACCUCUUCCAGAGGAGCCAGGCCCCAGGGAAAAGCAAAGUAUCAGGGCUCCGACUCCAAGAAAGAGACUUUCUACAGUGAAUGCUUCUGAAGAACCUAGUGACCAGCCCCUGGGCUCAACAGUGCAACAGGAGGAUCAGCAAGUUGAGAGUUCCAAGAAGAAGGCAAAGGCAUCCUUCAUGAAAAAGUCCCGUCCUGGGGCUAAUGAAUUACCUGGCCCCAGAAAGACUAUAACAAGAAAAAUGAAGAAGCAUUUGCUAAAGAAGAAACACACGGUAGACAAAGUCCGGCAAUGGGAACUACGCCAACUUAAGGAUAUUGAAGAGGCCACUAACUGGGAGCUGACGAUUGAGAUGGAAUAAAAUCUCAUCUAGGAACCUGAAAAGAGGAAUUUAUUUUGACAUUACUUUAAAUGAGGGAAAAUUUCUUCUCAAACACUUCGCUAGUUGUGCAAGAUAUUUUAAGUGAUCUCCAUGGGUGGGUAGGAGGUAGUUUUCUUAUCCAUUGACCUUUCCUUGAACAGAUUUGGUGGAAAUACUCGAAAUGAGUGCUGCUUAGUGGGGCAAUUGAGGAUAUUGUAAUGUUUUUCAUGAAAUCACCCCAAAUGGAGAUAAAGUUGUUACGUUUGCUAUGGAAUAUGCAUCUUCAUGAUAUGCCUGACAGGAAUAAUAUUCCAACUUUCAAUAUCUAUUAGAAAAACUUGGAUUAUGUUUUGUCCCUGUGUCCUGAAAAUGAAACCCCAGUACAUUUUUGCAUUAAAUACAUUGAUGCAUACUGCAUUAGCUGGGGUGAAUUUUUACUCCAUUCCACUACACAGUUGUUGAAUGUCAGUAAGUUCAGCUGCCAGAGUGCCCUGGAGAGGUCAGAAAGGACAGUAAAGGGGAAAGCAAAGUGAGUUUCCUCCUUCAUCCCCUAACAUAUGGACCUGGAAGCCCAGGCAGGCUUCAUUUUGUACGAAUCCUCAGACCCUGUGUCUCAGGGCAACACCCUGGCACCCGUAAUGUGGGCAGUUGGGCACCUUACACAGGGAGGACUGCACACUGCCCUUGUCAGUUACGACCCUGCCAGAACAAUUCUAGAAGUGUGGCCUUGUUGUCCGUUCAAUCCUCCGUGUACAGAUGUAGCCCCCAAACUGGAGGAGCUUCUUAAGGUUUUGGUAAUAGAAGUGACAACAUUUGGAGCCCAGCCCACUCUUGAUGGGUCUCAGGAAUCCUCUGGAUCAAAACUGUUGCCUCAGGAUUCUCCAGACCCCCUUGGGUGCAUUGAGUACCCAUUGAGUAUGAAUGACUGUUGGAAGUCCCCCUAAAAAUACAUCAAGGAGGAGGGACAUGUUCCCUGUCCACAGAACGUUUAUCUGGUAAUCCCGUUAUAAAUAUCAAGUGCACUUCUUCCAUUCAUCAAAAUAAGACAAAUGGGAUGAAGACGUAUAUCUACAUCUGUGCCGAGGAUGAGUAUGAAUAAAAAGGGAAGGGUUGGAAAUGGCUGGUGGAGUUGUGCAGACUGGGGUGUCAAGGAUUAAAGGGGGAAGGCUUGCUGGAGAAUGGAUCGCUUCACUGGAAGAAUGUUUUCCUAGGGUAGCCACUGCCAUUUCUCAUUUAGAUCACCAUCUGGAUAUCAUCAGUCCCUAAACAGAAAAACAGGCUGGUUCAGCCAGGCCAGAAUAAACGUGACCAGGAGAAGCUAAGAAACAGAGCCCUCUCUUGAUUUGAGCAAAGGACUCCCACAGAUGCCCAAAGUAAUAGAUGAUAAACUUAGGGUGUCUCCCUGCAACAGGAGUCUAAAUCAAACAACCCCAGCUCUGUUCAAAGCAAUGUGGGGAGGAGGAGAUUUUGAAUUUAAACAUGUUCUCAAAGUGCAGGUAAAAUUUCUCAAAUGACUCUUUUGAGGACAUGAUAGGAACGGUGUUUCCGGUGGCCACAACAGUGAAGGAAAAUCAAUAGAUAUUCCAAAGAAGUUGACUACAGAUUUGCCAAAUGAUUAGGAGGAAAAAAAUAAAUAAAACCCAUGAGUGAUGCCUUAUCUGAUCUGACUUGAUCCCAGUAAAAUCCAAACGUUUUAUUUUGCCUUCCAAAUCACCUGUUUUGAAAGGUUUGCCUACACUUAGGUUAAAGAUGUCUCAAAUGGCACUUUUUUUUCCUUAAGUUUAUUUCUUUAGCUAGCCUAAUGUCUUUCUGCUUCUGGGUUGCUCUAAAUCAUGUCUUUGGGGUUCCUUAUCAAGCAGGAAACAUGCUGGAAGGCUGCUGAGGAUUCACCAUGUGUGUUCUAAAUGCUUUGGAGGCUCAGGACCUCAGUUUUUCAUGGUGUGGGAUAAGUUCUGAGCCUUAUCUGGGAUGUAGUCCAGCAGUGAGAGACUGGAAUUUUUAUGGCAACCUGAAGGAAACCUGGCUGAGUUCUUUUGACAUUUGGGCUACCUCUGAGCUGACAAGUUGCAGCACCAAGUGUCCCCAAAACACUGAUGGGGGUGGGUCCAACCUCUUUCGAUUGUGAGUCUCGGAUUUUUCAUGCAACAAACAGACAAUCUUCUGACCGCUUUCACCCUUUGUUUGACAUCAACUUGUGGCGAUUAGUGGGACAGAGAAAAUCUUUUGGGUUAAGAGUCUGUUGCAACAAUUUCAUAGGUCAGGGAGGAACCUCCAGUUAGCUAAUUUAAGAUCUAUUAAAGCAGAUCUAAAGAUGGGAGAUGGGCAUCAAGUAUCAGUGACUGGUCCGUGGGCCGUGAUGUUCCAUCAGAUCACGAGAUUCCGAGGCUAAUGCAAUGUCUGGCAAUGUUUCAGCCGUGAACAAACUCGGGAAAGGUAUCUCUGGAUCUAGAUUCACACCUUGCUCAGUCA
rnacentral:lncRNA from 1 species